rnacentral:rRNA from 1 species
UACGGAGGAUGCGAGCGUUAUCCGGAUUUAUUGGGUUUAAAGGGUGCGUAGGCGGGAUGCCAAGUCAGCGGUAAAAAUGCGGUGCUCAACGCCGUCGAGCCGUUGAAACUGGCGUUCUUGAGUGGGCGAGAAGUAUGCGGAAUGCGUGGUGUAGCGGUGAAAUGCAUAGAUAUCACGCAGAACUCCGAUUGCGAAUGCAGCAUACCGGCGCCCUACUGACGCUGAGGCACGAAAGCGUGGGUAUCGAACAGG